AGUGAACGCUGGCGGUAGGCCUAACACAUGCAAGUCGAACGGCAGCACAGUAAGAGCUUGCUCUUACGGGUGGUGAGUGGCGGACGGGUGAGGAAUACAUCGGAAUCUACUUUUUCGUGGGGGAUAACGUAGGGAAACUUACGCUAAUACCGCAUACGACCUACGGGUGAAAGCAGGGGAUCUUCGGACCUUGCGCGAUUGAAUGAGCCGAUGUCGGAUUAGCUAGUUGGCGGGGUAAAGGCCCACCAAGGCGACGAUCCGUAGCUGGUCUGAGAGGAUGAUCAGCCACACUGGAACUGUGACACGGUCCAGACUCCUACGGGAGGCAGCAGUGGGGAAUAUUGGACAAUGGGCGCAAGCCUGAUCCAGCCAUACCGCGUGGGUGAAGAAGGCCUUCGGGUUGUAAAGCCCUUUUGUUGGGAAAGAAAAGCAGCAGGUUAAUACCCCGCUGUUCUGACGGUACCCAAAGAAUAAGCACCGGCUAACUUCGUG
rnacentral:rRNA from 1 species